GAUGAACGCUGGCGGCGCGCCUAAUACAUGCAAGUCGAGCGAACGGACGAGAAGCUUGCUUCUCUGAUGUUAGCGGCGGACGGGUGAGUAACACGUGGAUAACCUACCUAUAAGACUGGGAUAACUUCGGGAAACCGGAGCUAAUACCGGAUAAUAUUUUGAACCGCAUGGUUCAAAAGUGAAAGACGGUCUUGCUGUCACUUAUAGAUGGAUCCGCGCUGCAUUAGCUAGUUGGUAAGGUAACGGCUUACCAAGGCAACGAUGCAUAGCCGACCUGAGAGGGUGAUCGGCCACACUGGAACUGAGACACGGUCCAGACUCCUACGGGAGGCAGCAGUAGGGAAUCUUCCGCAAUGGGCGAAAGCCUGACGGAGCAACGCCGCGUGAGUGAUGAAGGUCUUCGGAUCGUAAAACUCUGUUAUUAGGGAAGAACAUAUGCGUAAGUAACUGUGCACAUCUUGACGGUACCUAAUCAGAAAGCCACGGCUAACUACGUG
rnacentral:rRNA from 1 species